AAUACCACCACUUAAUGAAAAUUUUCCUUAACAGUUCAUGCAAUCUGUGAUCAAACUAAACUUCGAAAUCAGCAAGAAAUUUCCUUCUCCAUUUUAAUUGCAUUAUGCUGAACUUUUUGAGUUCGGUGUUGUAGGUUUUGCGUAUUACCUUUAGGACUUGUGUUCUCCCCAGGCCCCUAUUUUUUUAAUUACUCUUCCUUGGAAUGCUAUGAAUUCUUAUUUAGAAAUCUCAUUUAGUUUUUUACUGGUUGACUCAUGUACAGAAGUAAUUUCAGGGAUUUGGUAGCUCCUUGCUCCUGGAAUUGAAAAAGAGACUUCAAAGUGUUGGUAUAUGCACAAUAUUCUGUUGGGGAGACAAGGAAUCUGAAGGGUUUUGGCUCAAACAGAUCAGAAUGACAAGGAUUUGGAUCGGACGAGUGAGAGGCAGGAUCUUGAAGGAAAGGAGCUAAAGC